rnacentral:rRNA from 1 species
GCUCAAAUUUGAAAUCUGGCCUCGGCCCGAGUUGUAAUUUGUAGAGGAUGCUUUUGGCGAGGUGCCUUCUGAGUUCCCUGGAACGGGACGCCGUAGAGGGUGAGAGCCCCGUACAGUCGGACACCUAGCCUCUGUAAAGCUCCUUCGACGAGUCGAGUAGUUUGGGAAUGCUGCUCUAAAUGGGAGGUAUAUCUCUUCUAAAGCUAAAUAUAGGCCAGAGACCGAUAGCGCACAAGUAGAGUGAUCGAAAGAUGAAAAGCACUUUGAAAAGAGGGUUAAAUAGCACGUGAAAUUGUUGAAAGGGAAGCGCUUGUGACCAGACUUGCGCCGGGCUGAUCAUCCAGUGUUCUCACUGGUGCACUCGACCCGGCUCAGGCCAGCGUCGGUUCUCGCUGGGGGACAAAAGCUCCGGGAACGUGGCUCCUCCGGGAGUGUUAUAGCCCGUUGUUUAAUACC